AAUCAAUUGAAUAGAAUUAAAUCAAUAAUUUUCUACACAAAUAAGAAUAAAAUUUUUUGAGAAGAAUUACACCAUUGGUAACGAACUUUCGGUUGAAUUUUGUAUCAAUCAAUAAGGAUCAAAAUCCAGUAGAACUAUUACUAAAACUUGAAUUAAGAUCAUGGACAAUUAAAUAUAAAUUUUAAGUCAAGUCAUCAUAACACCCAAGUAGAUGUAAAAGCACACGCGAGUACAAAUUCCAAUUUAGCAAGAUACAUAGAGGUAAGUUACGAGGAUGUUUGCCAUUCUAAAAUAUAUCAGUUAAAAGUUUAGAGAUAAAAUAGGAACAAACCAAAUAUUAAUGACCAACCUAAAAUUUAGCUCAAAAUUAAAUCAUUAAUGGUGUAAUACACCCCAAUUUUUAGCACACUCCUAUAAGCAAGUUACAAUUUCAUACUAAAAUCAAACUACUUUGGAUCCAAACCU
rnacentral:misc_RNA from 1 species